rnacentral:lncRNA from 1 species
UUUUCAUUUAAAAUUGUGAGUUAUAACCCACCUUUUCAAAUCAAUUUUAGAAAUUUAAUGAGAUUAAUCAUAAACCAAAAUUCAAGUCAUUCUCCCACACCACAUGUUUCCUAAAAUUAAUUUAGCACAUUCUGACGAAUUUCGGCAUAUGAAAAAAAUGUUUAGGGGCCAAUUAUUAGUUUAUAUUACUUUUUCUAUCUUUUUUUCAAAUUUCAAAAUUCAUAAAAAAAAA